CAUAGAAGGAGAUGAGACAAUUGUAGAGUAGAUCAGUGAGAGCAGAGGGAACCCAGACGUUCAUGACAAGAGGAAGAUUCCAAGCUUCAGUGAUAAAUCGAUCUCUCACGCAAAGAUUAGAGGAGACCAGGUAUUUUACUUAGACUGGAGAACAAAAAAAGACAGAGAGCGAGAAAGAGACCGAGAGUCAAAGAAGGCUGAAUCUGGGUUUUAAGAGAGGCUUUAAGAGAGAGAUUGAUAGUGAUCUAGAGAUAGAAGAAGAACCAAGAGUUGGGAGAGAUUUUACUUCUAUUUAGGGAGAGAAUGUGAAAAAGAUUUGGAGGAAGAAAGAGCAGAGGUUGGCGGUGGCAGAGACAAAAUCAGAUGCCAUGAGAAGGCUGAAUCUGGUGGAUGAAAUUUGACAGUAAGGAGUUUUGGUCUAGGAAAAGAUCGAUUAGAUCUCUAUUAUCUUCUUUCAUGUUUGGGCUUCGUCUCUAGUGUCCGUUUCUCUAGGCGAGUCAUAAUCAUCAGCGAGGUACAAGAUAGAGCCAGAGAAGGUUAGUUCAACGCUGGCUGGGGAAGAAGUUCGAGCUUGAGCAAGGCGGAUUGGAAGGUGGUUUGAGUUUGAGGCAUGAAAACUAGAGGGAGCGACAAAUUAAAGGGCAUCCGAGUUUGAAGCACAUAGAACGAUGGAAAGAUUUGGCUUCGAAUGAUGUUUAUGGGCAAGAUCAGAAGCUGCAUAGAGCUGUGGAGAUGUUCAAAAAGGCUUGUGCAUUGCUUGUGACUUUGGAUGAAAAAACAUACAUGAAUUUGAUUGGCUAUUACGGGAAGGCUGGUAGUGGGCUAAUAUGAUUUUCAUGAUUUUUUUCUCAAAUCAUAUUAUAAUAUCUAAUAUCUAAUAUUAUUGAUAUAGAAUGUAGGUAGUUUUAGGAAGACAUCUUUUUUUUUUUUUGGUUAUUUGUUCUUCAAACACAGUGAUGAAUAUAAAUCUAUAGAGUAAUGGUUAGUGAUUAGCCAACAAACCAUUGCUUCAGUUAGUGGCGGAGCCAGGAUCUUAUGUUAAGGGGUGCAAAUUAAUUUUAAAAAUAAUAAUUUAGAAAGAAUUAUUUAAUAUUUUUUUAAAAUAAUCAUACAAUUUAUAAUUGUCCCCUACUUAUUGUCAAAUGCUAUUAAAAAUAUUUCCUUUCAUAUAAGUCACUAAUUUAUGAUAUUAUUUAUAUAUAAAAAUAUAUAAUAAUUAAUUAGAGAUUUAAAAAAAUUAAAUAAAUAAGAAUAUUCUUUUAAAAAAAUUAUAUUAGAGUUUUGGACUUAGUGAAUUCAUAAUUGGGCUUAAGUUAAAACAUUUACAAAAAAAAAAAAAGCGAUUCAGUAGGGGUUUGAAAUUUUGUGGCUAAAAAAAAGUAAAUUAACAAAAUAUCUACUUUUCAUUUAUAAUUUCCUCCAAGUUGAGGGGUACAUAUGCCUCCCCUCAAGUGUAUGUGGCUCCACCACUGGCUUCAGUGGCACUAGUCAACUGGCGACAGAUCCCUGCUGUGUUUCUGCAGUGCUAAUGUACAAGGGUCGAAAAUAGGGAAAAAAGAAGGAAAAACAAAAUUACUUUGAUGUGGAAGAAGGCAUAAAACCUGGAAAGAUCAGCUAUAAUAUUAUGCUCAAUGUAUACGCUAAUGCGGGCUUCCUUAUGAAGCAGAGGAACUUUUCCAAGCUAUGCAAAGACAAGGCUGUUCACCUGACAUUCUCACCUAUCUUUCCCUUAUUCGUGCAUACACAGAGUCUGAAAUACUCUGAAGCUGAUAUAACCAUUAAUGCUAUGCAGAGCAGAGGCAUGUUGCCGUCCUGUGCCCAUUUUAACAUUUUACUCUCUGCAUUCAUGAAAGCAGGGCUUAUUGACGAAGCCAACAGGGUGUAUAAGAGACUAUCCUCUUUUGGUCUAACUCCUGAUCGAAUAUGUUUUCGAACAAUGCUGAAAGGUUACCUGGAACAUGGACGUGUGUGCAAGAAGUUAUUAACUUCUUUGAAAGUAUAAGCAACUCGAUAAAAGCGGACAGGUUCAUCAUGAGUGGUGCUGUACAUUUGUACAAAUCUGCUGGGAAAGAAAACAAAGCUGAAGAAAUAUUGCAUUCAAUGGACAACAUGGGGAUCCCAUUCCUGAGGAAACUUGAAGUGGGUCAAGGCCAAAAACUACAUAAGAAAAAGCGCCAUUUAAGUAAUGCAUGUGUAGAAUAUGGCUAAUGGAACAACCAAGUACUUUCUCCAGGCACCGCGUGGUUUAUUGAGAAGAGAGAUAGAGUGGUGUUAGGUGUGGCUCAGUACCUUAUAUCUGUACAGUGAAUUUACACCUUUGGUCCUUUUGUGGAUCCCAAUCUACCCUGCUGCUUUGGUUUCCCCUAUUGUCUUGACAUUUUUAAGCCUGAUAAGGGUUCUACUUCAGAAGGCGGAUAGGGUUAGAGGAUGGUGCCAUUGUAGUAAUGGAUGAGGAUCAGGGAUCUUGGGAUUUUUUCUGGGGAUUAAGGACUUCCUCUACGUCAUCAAGAUUCUCCUUUCCAUUUUGUAGAGCAGAGGAAGAGUUUGAACGACGCAUUGAUGGAAGAGGAAGUGGAGAAAAUGACAGGUUAAUAUAGCUCUAUCUGAUAGGAAGUAUGGGAAGGCAUAUUAUAGGAAGAAAUGAACUUGAUUGCUAUUGCUUUUUAUUCUUUUAAUCAUUUAUGUAAAGUUUGUAAGCUUUCCUUCCUCAGGAGGAAAAGACAAGUAGCUUAUUUCUUUUUUUUUUAUUUUGUCUUGCUUUUACAUUAUACUUAUGCUGUAAAUGGUUGGUUAUGUUUCCUUGAAAAGUAAACCAUGGUCUAUAAAUAAAGCAUAGACUGUACGUGUAAGGAGCAAGUUAUUGAUGAAUGAAAUAGUUUGAAUGGCAUUCUGAAGGGUUCAUUUUUUUCACA